rnacentral:rRNA from 1 species
CCUACGGGUGGCAGCAGUGAGGAAUAUUGGUCAAUGGGCGCGAGCCUGACCCAGCCAAGUCGCGUGAAGGAUGACUGCCCUCCGGGUUGUAAACUUCUUUUUUAAAGGAAUAAAGUGAGUCGCGUGUGCCUUUUUGUCUUUACUUUAUGUAUCAGGAUCGGCUAACUCCGUGCCAGCAGCCGCGGUAAUACGGAGGAUCCGUGCGUUAUCCGGAUUUAUUGGGUUUAAAGGGAGCGUAGAUGGGUUGUUAAGUCAGUUGUGAAAGUUUGCGGCUCAACCGUAAAAUUGCAAUGGAUACUGGCAGUCUUGAGUACAGUUGAGGUAGGCGGAAUUCGUGGUGUAGCGGUGAAAUGCGUAGAUAUCACGAAGAACUCCGAUGGCGAAGGCAGCUUACUAAACUGCCACUGACAUUGAUGCUCGAAAGUGUGGGUAUCAAACAGGAUUAGAUACCCUUGUAGUC